rnacentral:rRNA from 1 species
UUCCGCAUUCCUGACCUCGGAUCAGACGUGAAUACCCGCUGAACUUAAGCAUAUCACUAAGCGGAGGAAAAGAAACUAACCAGG